AAAUGGACUCUCAAUGGACCCUUGGCUGUAGUGGUUAUAUAAAUGAAUAUACCGUUCAUUAAAGGAUGGUUCACCAAACAUGCAAAAAA